rnacentral:rRNA from 1 species
AUUGAACGCUGGCGGCGUGCCUAACACAUGCAAGUUGAGCGUGAAGUUUAUAUUGAUUCUUCGGAUGAUUUAUAAAUGGAAAGCAGCGGACGGGUGAGUAACGCGUGGAUAACCUGCCCUAUACUCCAGGAUAACAUACCGAAAGGUAUGCUAAUACUGGAUAAUAUACAUUAGUCGCAUGGCUUUUGUAUCAAAGAUUACGGUAUAGGAUGGAUCCGCGUUCCAUUAGCUAGUUGGUGGGGUAAAGGCUACCAAGGCGACGAUGGAUAGCCGACCUGAGAGGGUGAUCGGCCACACUGGAACUGAGACACGGUCCAGACUCCUACGGGAGGCAGCAGUGGGGAAUAUUGCACAAUGGGCGCAAGCCUGAUGCAGCCAUGCCGCGUGUGUGAAGAAGGCCUUCGGGUUGUAAAGCUUUCGUCU